CAGCAGCCGCGGUAAUACGGAGGGUGCAAGCGUUACUCGGAAUCACUGGGCGUAAAGGACGCGUAGGCGGAUUAUCAAGUCUCUUGUGAAAUCUAACGGCUUAACCGUUAAACUGCUUGGGAAACUGAUAAUCUAGAGUAAGGGAGAGGCAGAUGGAAUUCCUGGUGUAGGGGUAAAAUCCGUAGAGAUCAAGAAGAAUACCCAUUGCGAAAGCGAUCUGCUGGAACUUAACUGACGCUAAUGCGUGAAAGCGUGGGGAGCAAACAGGAUUAGAUACCCUGGUAGUCCACGCCCUAAACGAUGUAUACUAGUUGUUGCUUCGCUAGUCGAGGCAGUAAUGCACCUAACGGAUUAAGUAUACCGCCUGGGGAGUACGGUCGCAAGAUUAAAACUCAAAGGAAUAGACGGGGACCCGCACAGGCGGUGGAGCAUGUGGUUUAAUUCGAAGAUACGCGAAGAACCUUACCCGGACUUGAUAUCUAACAAAUCAUCCAGAGAUGGAAGAGUGUCUGCUUGCAGAAAUGUUAAGACAGGUGCUGCACGGCUGUCGUCAGCUCGUGUCGUGAGAUGUUGGGUUAAGUCCCGCAACGAGCGCAACCCACGUCAUUAGUUGCUAACGGUUCGGCCGAACACUCUAAUGAGACUGCCUUCGUAAGGAGGAGGAAGGUGUGGACGACGUCAAGUCAUCAUGGCCCUUAUGUCCGGGGCGACACACGUGCUACAAUGGCGUAUACAAUGAGACGCAAUAUCGCGAGAUGGAGCAAAUCUAUAAAAUACGUCCCAGUUCGGAUUGGAGUCUGCAACUCGACUCCAUGAAGCCGGAAUCGCUAGUAAUCGUAGAUCAGCCAUGCUACGGUGAAUACGUUCCCGGGUCUUGUACUCACCGCCCGUCACACCAUGGGAGUUGAUUUCACUCGAAGCCCAAAUACCAAAUCGGUUAUGGUCCACAGUGGAAUCAGCGACUGGGGUGAAGUCGUAACAAGGUAGCCGU
rnacentral:rRNA from 1 species